rnacentral:ribozyme from 1 species
GUCAUUACUCCCAAUGGCAAGGCCGGAAUCCAUGUGGAACAUUCUUGGGGUGAUGCCCCGACUUUAGCUCACAUACUCGAAUGGGUGA